rnacentral:lncRNA from 1 species
UUCUAAAAGAAUUAGGGUUUGAAAGCAAGGAGUUCAUAAAACAACUUUAUCCCCCAUAAUCAAUUUGCAGUGAAUAUCUCCUGUAUUGAUAUACCAGGCAACAAAAUAGCUGAAUGUUGCUUGUAGUUUGUCUUUCAUUUUGCCAGUGAUUAACUUUUUGCAUAUUCUGUCAAAUAUAUUAUUAUUCACAGCUUGAAGUGAUGCUGAGGUGUAUAUAUCUGGAAACAUCACACAGCAGCUAAACACAAAUGUGAGACCACAGAAUAUCAUUCACCAGUCAGCAUUCAUUACUAAAUUAACAUUUAUAAUGUUUCUAUGACUAAGGGCAUCAAUACUUUCUCACUGAUUUGAUGUUCAAUGAUUAUUAUUUAUAACAGAGUUCAAACAAUCAGAAACCCUUCAGUUUGAGGGACUGAAACCAGCUUUGGCUUCUGAGAUGCACAGUGCCACUGGGUGCAUUGGCCUUGAUCCAUUUUUCACGUUCACUGGUUUGGUUCAUGUGACCAUUGAUUGUUAUACCAUUGUCUUUUGGAACUUCUUUCAUUUCUUGUAAAGUGAUUUCUGGAUUCACAUCAACUUUGCUCCCUGACAACUGCAAAUGAGCUUUGAGAGAGGAUGGGACUUUGAUUAUAAUAGACCCUUUCUGGGAUUUCAAGUCCACAUUCCCCAUUUGGCUGACAUAAACAUCUACAGCACCCUCAUGUGUUGAAGCUUUUAGGUAUCCAUUUAAUGACUCUAUUAUGAUGUUACCCAUUUUGCUGUGUACUGUUAAGUCACCAUGAAUACUUCCCAAUGUAAUAUCCCCAGCAGCAGAAGACAGAGAUGAUGACUCUGUAUACAGAUACUUGGCUUUCAGCAAACCAUCUUCAGUAGAUAUGCUAACAGAACUCCCCUGUAGUUUAUCUAUAGUCACAGUCUUAACUGACUGCACAAUGCUGAUUCCUUGUUCAGUUUCUAUUCUACAAUCAUCACAUUCAGCUUCCUGUACCUUUACACAGCCAGUACCUGAUGUCCUGAUAUUCAAAUCGAACUUCAUGGGGACCUUCACCUCCACCGAGGCCUCGUGGCAGAUGCUGUCCGAGACGAUGGCCAUCUGCUUCAGGGCCUAGUCGUACCUCACCUGGAUGCCGUCCAGGUCCAGGCUGCCGCCCUCCACGCCGCUCACCGUGACCAGCACCCGGUCGGAAUCCGGGUAGUGGUAAGGGUCUAGGGGUCUCACGGCGAUGUCGCACGGGAGCCGCUCCUGCAGCCGCCGAAAGGGUUGACAAUCCGCGUCCACUCCUUGAGCGGGGUUUUGCGAGGGACCGCCGGCUCGUUCGAGGGGCUCCUCUCCCACAGGCUGUAGGGUCUGGCUGGGUGGGCUCGGCGCGCCGCCGCUGGGGCCGCGGCAGCCUGGAGCCCGGCCCAUAGCCCUAAGGGGCCGAGCUGGGGGCCGCCUCGCCACCAGCCGGGGCCGGGGACAAGCAUAACCCCGGCUCAAGCCCCGCCCGAGGUCACCACAGCCCCGCAUAGGGGUUCACUGGCCGCUGCUGACCCUGCCACCGCUGACCCGGCAAGGCUAACGAAGUAAGGAACGCACGACGGGUCAGUGUGGACGGUAAUGAACCCCUGGGCCCCAUAAAUUGAGCCCACCCACCCCACCACGAUCUGCCUGCCCUGCACUGCCACCCACCAACAACUCGAGAAUCCCAGGGCCACAGAAGACUCUUUUAAAAAAAUAAAAGUGCUACUCUAGCUGACUCA